rnacentral:rRNA from 1 species
UGGGGAAUAUUGGACAAUGGGCGAAAGCCUGAUCCAGACAUGCCGCGUGUGUGAAGAAGGUCUUCGGAUUGUAAAGCACUUUAAGUUGGGAGGAAGGGCAGUAAGCGAAUACCUUGCUGUUUUGACGUUACCGACAGAAUAAGCACCGGCUAACUCUGUGCCAGCAGCCGCGGUAAUACAGAGGGUGCAAGCGUUAAUCGGAAUUACUGGGCGUAAAGCGCGCGUAGGUGGUUCGUUAAGUUGAAUGUGAAAGCCCCGGGCUCAACCUGGGAACUGCAUCCAAAACUGGCGAGCUAGAGUAGGGCAGAGGGUGGUGGAAUUUCCUGUGUAGCGGUGAAAUGCGUAGAUAUAGGAAGGAACACCAGUGGCGAUGGCGACCACCUGGGCUCAUACUGACACUGAGGUGCGAAAGCGUGGGGAGCAAACAGG